rnacentral:rRNA from 1 species
AUACCGGCGGCUCGAGUGGUGGCCGCUUUUUAUUGGGCUUAAAGCGUUCGUAGCUGGGUCGUUAAGUCUCUUGGGAAAUCCGGCAGCUCAACUGUCGGGCGUCUAAGAGAUACUGGCGAUCUUGGAACCGGGAGAGGUGAGGGGUACUUCAGGGGUAGGAGUGAAAUCCUGUAAUCCUUGAGGGACCACCUGUGGCGAAGGCGCCUCACCAGAACGGCUUCGACAGUGAGGGACGAAAGCUGGGGGAGC